rnacentral:lncRNA from 1 species
AUAAAAUAUAAAAAUCCAGCCCAGUUCAUGACUCGUUUGGCAGCAACCCUGAGACACUUUACAGCCCUAGACCCUAAAAGGUCAAAAGGCCGUCUUAUUCUUAAUACACAUUUUAUUACCCAAUCUGCUCCCGACAUUAAAUAAAACUCCAAAAAUUAAAUUCCAGCCCUCAAACCCCACAACAAGAGUUAAUUAACCUCCCUUCAAGGUGUACAAUAAUAGAGUAGAGGCAGCCAAGUAGCAAUGUAUUUCUGAGUUGUAAUUCCUUGCCUCCACUGUGAGACAAACCCCAGCCACAUCUCCAGCACACAAGAACUCCAAACGCCUGAACCACAGCUUCCAGGGGUUCCUCCAGAACCUCCUCCCCCAGGAGCUUGCUACAAGUGCCAGAAAUCUGGCCACUGGGCCAAGGAAUGCCCACAGCCCAGGAUUCCUCCCAAGCUGUGUCCCAUCUGUGCAGGACCCCACUGAAAAUCAGACUGUUCAACUCACCUGGCAGCCACUUCCAGAGCCCCUGGAACUCUGGCCCAAGGCUCUCUGACUGACUCCUUCCCUGAUCUUCUCAGCUUAGCAGCUGAAGACUGACACUGCCUGAUUGCCUCAGAAGCCUACAGGACCAUCACAGAUGCUCUAGGUAACUCUCACAGUGGAAGGUAAGUCCGUCCCCUUCUUAAUCAAUACGGAGGCUACCCACUCCACAUUACCUUCUUUUCAAGGGCCUGUUUCCCUUGCCUCCAUAACUGUUGUAGGUAUUGGCGGCCAGGCUUCUAAACCUCUUAAAACUCCCCAACUUUGGUGCCAACUUAGACAAUACUCUUUUAAGCACUCCUUUUAAUUAUCCCCACCUGCCCAGUUCCCUUAUUAGGCCGAGACACUUCAACUAAAUUAUCUGCUUCCCUGACUAUUCCUGGGCUACAGCCACACCUCAUUGCUGCCUUUUCCCCCAGUUCAAAGCCUCCUUCACAUCAUCCCCUUCUAUCUCCCCACCUUAACCCAUAAGUAUAGGACACCUCUACUCCCUCCUUGGUGACAAAUGAUGCACCCCUUACCAUCCCAUUAAAACCUAAUCACCCUUACCCCACUCAAUACCAAUAUCCCAUCCCACACCAUGCUUUAAAAGGAUUAAAGACUGUUAUCACUCGCCUGCUACAGCAUGGCCUUUUAAAGCCUGUAAACUCCCCUUACAAUUCCCCUAUUUUACUGUUCUAAAUCCAGACAAGGCUUACAGGUUAGUUCAGGAUCUGCAACUUAUCAACCAAAUUGUUUUGCCUAUCCACCCAAUGGUGCCAAACCCAUAUACUCUCCUAUCCUCAAUACCUCCCUCCACAACCCAUUAUUCUGUUCUGGAUCUCAAACAUGCUUUCUUUACUAUUCCUUUGCACCCUUCAUCCCAGCCUCUCUUCGCUUUCACUUGGACUGACCCUGACACCCAUCAGGCUCAGCAAAUUACCUGGGCUGUACUGCCACAAGGCUUCACAGACAGCUCCCAUUACUUCAGUCAAGCCCAAAUUUCUUCCUUAUCUGUUACCUAUCUCAGCAUAAUUCUCAUAAAAACACACGUGCUCUCCCUGCCGAUCAUGUCCCACUGAUCUCUCAAACCCCAACACCUUCUAAAAAACAACAACUCCUUUCCUUCCUAGGCGUGGUUGGAUACUUUAGAUAUCUGGUUUUGCCAUCCUAACAAAACCAUUAUAUAAACUCACAAAAGGAAACCUAGCUGACCCCAUAGAUCCUAAUUCCUUUCCCCACUUCUCUUUCCAUUCCUUGAAGACAGCUUUAGAGACUGCCCCCACCCCAGCUCUCCCUGACUCAUCCCAACCCUUUUCAUUACCCACAGCCGAAGUGCAGGGCUAUGCAGUCAGAACUCUUACACAAGGACUGGGACCGUGCCCUGUAGCCUUUUUAUCCAAACAACUUGACCUUACUGUUUUAGCCUAGCCCUCAAGUCUGCGUGCGGCAGCCGCCGCUGCCCUAAUACUUUUAGAGUCCCUCAAAAUCACAAACUAUGCUCAACUCACUCUCUACAGUUCUCAUAACUUCCAAAAUCUGUUUUCUUCCUCACACCUCACACAUAUACUUUCUGCUCCCCGACUCCUUCAGCUGUACUCACUCUUUGUUGAGUCUCCCACAAUUACCAUUGUUCCUGGCCCAGACUUCAAUCCAGCCUCCCACAUUAUUCCUGAUACCACACCUGACCCUCCUGACUGUAUCUCUCUGAUACAUCUGACAUUCACCCCCAUUUUCCCAUAUUUCCUUCUUUCCUGUUCCUCACCCUGAUCACACUUGGUUUAUUGAUGGCAGUUCCACCAGGCCUAAUUGCCACACACCAGCAAAGGUAGGCUAUGCUAUAGUACAAGCCACUAGCCCGCCUCUUAUAACCUCUCAUUUCCUUUCCAUUGUGUAAAUCUAUCCUCAAGGAAAUAACUUCUCAGUGUUCUAUCUGCUAUUCUACUACUCUUCAGGGAUUAUUCAGGCCCCCUCCCUUCCCUACACAUCAAGCUCGGGGAUUUGCCCCUGCCCAGGACUGGCAAAUUAGCUUUACUCAACAUGCCCUGAGUCAGGAAACUAAAAUACCUCUUGGUCUAGGUAGACACUUUCACUGGAUAGGUAGAGGCCUUUCCCACAGGGUCUGAGAAGGCCACCACGGUCAUUUCUUCCCUUCUGUCAGACAUAAUUCCUCAGUUUGGCCUUCCCACCUCUAUACAGUCCGAUAGCAGACCGGCCUUUAUUAGUCAAAUCACCCAAGUAGUUUCUCAGGUUCUUAGUAUUCAGUAAACUAAUGGUCUUUUUAAAACACACCUCACCAUGCUCAGCCAUCAAUUAAAAGAGACUGGACAAUACUUUUACCACUUGCCCUUCUCAGAAUUCAGGCCUGUCCUCAGAAUGCUACAAGGUACAGCCCAUUUGAGCUCCUGUAUAGACGCUCCUUUUUAUUAGGCCCCAGUCUCAUUCCAGACACCAGACCAACUUGGACUGAGCCCCCCAAAAAAAAACUUGUCAUCCCUACUAUCUUCUGUCUAGUCAUACUCCUAUUCACCUUUCUCAACUACUCAUAAAUGCCCUGCUUUUGUUUACACUGCCGGUUUACACUGUUUCUCCAAGCCAUCACAGCUGGUAUCUCCUGGUGCUAUCCCCAAACCACCACUCUUAACUCCCUCUUAAAGUAAAUAAAUAAUCUUUGCUGGCAGGGCUAUGCUGAACCUCCUUAGACACUCUCUAAUUGGAUGUUCUAGGUCCUCCGAAUUCUUAGUCCUUUACUACCUGUUUUUCUCAUUGUCUUAUUCCGUUCUUUUUUCAAUUCAUACGAAACCAUAUCCAGGCCAUCACCAAUAAUUCUAUACAACAAAUGUUUCUUCUAACAACCCCACAAUAUCACCCCUUACCACAAAAUCUUCCUUCAGCUUAAUCUCUCCCAGUCUAGGUUCCCACACCACCCCUAAUCCCGCUCGAAGCAGCCCUGAGAAACAUCGCCUGUUAUCUCUCCAAAGCACCCCCAAAAAUUUUCGCCACCCCAACACUUCAACACUAUUUUAAUUUUUCUUAUUAAUAUAAGAAGACAGGAAUGUCAGGCCUCUGAGCCCCAGCUAAGCCAUCAUAUCCCCUGUGACCUGCACGUAUACAUGCAAAUGGCCUGAAGUAACUGAAGAAUCACAAAAGAAGUGAAAUUUAAAUGGCCUGUUCCUGCCUUAACUGAUGACAUUCCACCACAAAACAAGUGAAAAUGGCCAGUCCUUGCCUUAACUGAUGACAUUACCUUGUGAAAUUCCUUCUCCUGGCUCAUCCUGGCUCAAAAAGCUCCCCCAAUGACCACCUUGUGACCCCCACUCCUGCCCACCAGAGAACAACCCCUCUUUGACUGUAAUUUCCUUUACCUAUGCAAAUCUUAUAAAAUGGCCCCACCCCUGUCUCCCUUCACUGACACUCUUGUCGGACUCAGCCCGCCUGCACCCAGGUGAAAUAAACAGCCUUGUUGCUCACACAAAGCCUGUUCAGCGGUCUUUUCACGUGGACGCGAGUGAAAAAAAGAACUCUUUAAGAGAUUAAAAAAACAACUCUCAACUUUUAGUCUACUUCUUCACUAGGCUUUUCAAGAGUUAAAAAUAAAAGAGAAGGAAAGAAGAGAGAGAGGGAGAAAAGAGAUACAGGAGACCAUAUGUGGACCCCAAUAGAGCUUGCAAAUUUACUUUAUGGACCUUUACUGAAAAAGUUUGCCAACUCCUGACUCCUGGACCAACAUUUUCCUUUGAGCUUGCUGUCACUAUCCUGGUCAGUAUGAAUUCUAGUCCAAAAAGUGUCUCCUAUUUCAAAGCUUUGACCUGGAAGAGAGCGUCUGUUUUAUAGUAUAAGAGUUUCUGAUUUAUAGUAUGAGAGUUCUUAGGAUCCAUAUCUUACUGUGGUCUCCAUGAACCAACCAGCAAAUUAGAUCCUGAGAUCUAAUUUGAGUGCUAUUUGAGAUCCAGCUUUGAGUGCUAUUCUCAGAAAACUGCCAUACUUUCUAGUUGGUUUUCUUCCUCUGUAUUUGCAUAAUAGAAACACUUAGGGAGAAUCAAAAUGUAAGCUACUGCCUCCAUCUUCCCAAAAUGUCAACUUGAUGUCUUUCCUUUAAACUGAAGGAUGAAGAAGACUUGGAAAGAUGGGGAACAUUUCUGCAUUCUCAUUAUAUAAACUGGAAUGUAAUUUUUUUAAAGGAGCAAGUCUAUGUUCAAUAAAUGCUUAGUAGCUUGAUUUAUUGCUUCUUUCUCUCUCAUCUGCAAAUAUUCAAUUACUUUUUAAAUAUGUUAAUAAAACUGAGCAAAUAAUUACAUUUCAAUUUAUAUACCAAUCUACAGAACAAAGAAGUUCCCCUCAGAGAAAGUAGAGUACUUCUAAUGGGUUAAUUCUAUAUCUCCUUUGAUUAAUAAAGCAGCCCAUAGAGAGUUUACGGCCUUUUACUUUCUUUGUUUCAGAAUUACUUCCCAUGUAUGAAGCAUAAUGAGAACCUCCAUAAUUAAAUAUAUUCUAUGAGAAUUCAUCCACAAAUAACUCUUUAAAAUUUCAAGGAAAAUAUAUAAAAUAACUCUGAGGAGACCCCUGAGAACAAUCAAGAUCAGAAAGAAACUACUGGAAAGCAUUUAACUCUUUCUUGAAAGAACCAGAGAAUUAUGAUGGUUCAGAGAAGAGACCAUUACUUCCAGGGUGAUUGUCUAGAGAGAGUGGCAUUUUAGGCAGCUUUUGAAAAUGAAAAGCUUUGAAUUUUGAUUGUUUGACAUGUUUGUAUAGGACAUUCUAAUACAUAAGGUCAUGUUAAUAAAUGUUCACAAAUCAGAUAAAAGAACAGCUUGCAAGUUCAGACACUGUAUUUUAUACAAUUAUUCCUUGGCCAAGGCUUCUGCAAUUUGAUUUUAAAGUUUUAAGUUAAAAACAAUGAAUUUUAUAUUCAGUCACAACUAAACCUCAAUAUAUUAACAUUAUUAAAACCAAAGAAUCAAGUCUUAACCACCAGCAUAUCCAAGAAAUUCCUCCUGAUUUACUAUUUAGACAUAAAAAAGAAACAAAAGCAUACAAAGACAUGAAACUUACCCAGGCUACAAUUCAUGCACCACUUCUCAAGGGACAAGAAACUGAACUGUUAUUGAGCAUCUUCCAUUUUAUCAAGCUUACUGAGAAAGUAAUUAAUGUGUAUCAUUGUUUCAUGUAUGUCUACUCUAUGCAAAAAACUAUUCUAGAUACUGUAGAAAACGUUUCCCUUCUUGAAGUUUGCAUAGUAGUAAGGGAAACAUACAUGUUAGCUCAGGGAGGCAUGAAUGAGAUCUCUGCAUUUAUCAGUCCAAUGUCAUAAAUAUCCCUGGCUAUUCAGAAACAGAAAACAUUUUCUCUUCCCCCUGUCCGAUUUGCAUUCCUUUCUUCAGAAUUCCCAUAGUAGUACUGUUCAUCUAUUACGGCACUUCUUAAACUAUAUUAUAAUUAUAUAUUUGACUUGCUUUGAUAACAUAGCAAGAUAUUACAGGCAAAGAAUCAGCCAUCACCAUGUUUUGCCUCUCAGAACUUUGGAAGUACAUGAAUUCCAU